rnacentral:misc_RNA from 1 species
GCCAAUACCAUUGUAAACUCGUUAUGGCUACCACUUCUCAAACCUCAGAUCAGAUCGUACCUGUCACAAUAUCUUUGUUUUCCCCGUCAUCUUCCUUAUCAAAUCCUUCCCAAUACAUAUCUGUCAAACUUAAUUCUUCUAAUUAUCUCCUUUGGAAGGCCCAAUUGUUGCCUCUUCUCAAUGGGUAUAACCUGUCCCAACACAUCUCCACCACCUCUGUUCCUUUGUCUCCAAUACUUUGAUGACAACACCACCUCGAAUCCUACUUAUCAGAUUUGCUACCAUUAGGAUUAGCUAGUUCUUAGCUAGAUCUUCUCGUCAUAUCUGAGACUAUCCUCCCUCAGGUCAUUGGAUUGACAACAGCAAAAGAAGCUUGGAAUAAGCUUGCUGCCAUUUUUGCUAUUGGAAGUCGCACCCAAAUUUUACAGCUUUGUUAACAGCUCAAAAGGUUGGCUAAAGGUACUGAUUGUAUUGAUGUCUACAUGAAACGUGCAAGGACUAUUGCUGAUCAAUUAUCAGUGCUUCAGCCACCAAUCUUUGAAGAGUCGUCAGUAAUGACAUUCUGGAAGGGUUAGGUCCAGAAUUUCGACCAUUUAUUCGGGCUAUUCAGGCCAGAAAUGCGCCUAUUGAGUUUGCUGAUUCGUUUGCACUCUUGCUGAGCGAGGAAGCUUAAAUGAAAAUGGAAUCUCUCUCGAUUUACUCUUCAGUUCCGCCUUCUGCCCAUGUUGUUACUCGUACGCCCUCAAAUGCACGGAAUCCUGGACAAGGCCGAGGUCACUCUUUCGUGAAUCAUUCUACAAAUGAUACAUGUUUCUCUCAAUGUGACUUGUCAUAAUUGCUGUGGCCAAGGACAUUUAGCAUGCUAUUGUCCAUCCUGAAGAUUAAACACAAUUCAAGCCAAAAUAUCUGAUCCUUUCAGCCCACUAUCUAUCUAGCCUCAACUGACAAUUCCUAGAUGGAGCAAUGGACUGUGGAUUCGGAAGCCAACUUCCAUGUCACAUCCAAUAAUGAUAAUCUCGCAAAUUCCACACCAUAUCAUGGAAUUGAUGAAGCCGUUAUAGGCAGUGGUAAGACUGUUUCAAUUUUUCACACUAGUAAAUCACAUGUUUCACUCAAUAAUUCUUCUUUUGUUUUGGAUAAUAUUCUUUGUUCUCCGCAUAUUUAACGUAAUCUCUUUUCUGUUUCUACCUUUACUCAUCAAAAUAACGUAAUCUCUUUACUCAUCAAAAUAAGCAUAUUCACUCGAAGCAAGUGUUGUACACGGGUCGGAGUAAUGGUGGUCUCUACACCGUGCCUCUUCAAAUGUCUAAAGUUCAACCUGAAGUCAAUUCAGUGGAAUUUAGUACUUGGCAUGCCCGUCUUGGUCAUGCUAAUACUCAAUUGUUCGUUAAUUUUUGAAUUCUCAUGAUAUUUCUCAUUCUAAAAAUAAUUUGUUUAAUAGUCCAUGUCAUUUGUGUAGUGUUAGUAAGAUGCAUAAACUUCUGUUUAUUGAUUCUCAUUCAGUUGUUAAUAAACCACUUGAGUUGAUGUG